GACAAUGUGGCGUAAUGGUUUGAGCGCUGGACUAUGAUUCUGGAGACUAGGGUUCAGAUUCCUGUUCAGCCA